GUAAAUGAUGCCUUGAUAACUCGCAGAUAACUGCCCCACCGCCAAACGUGAGUAGGGUAGUCUCAAUUCGUUACCCCUUCGUGUGUUGUAGUUAUGGCACAUAUUAUUUUUUGUGUAGUGAGAUUAAUUUUUUUUAAUACUUACAGCUACUACAUAUAUGUAUAGGCAGGGAAGAGUAAGUAUGAACAGCUGAGUGAAUGUUUUCUUACAUGAUUCUUUAUACUGAAGUCCAGCUAGGUAUCUUAUCACUUUUUUUUGGAGUUCAAAUGGUUUCAUGGCAUGAACUGAGUUUCCCCAGAAGGGCAAUCCCUAAGAUAAAAUAGACUGCACAAGUCCAUAGUAUAUUCAUUUUAGCACUUCCAGCGAGACAGUUCCACGUAAUUGUUUCAUUACAAAACAUAUGCUGCUCAGUUUUGUUACUAUAUUUUCUAUUUGUAGGUACUUCCCAUAUUAGUUUUUGAUCGAUGGUUAGACUGUGUGGAAAUGUGUUUUUGCUGGAAUAUCAUAAAUACCAUUUUGAUGACAUUUACUGUUAACCCAUUUGCUGUUUCUAUGGAAAGAGAUCACUCAUGAAGAGUAUGAAAAUAUUUGGAGCCAGGAUUGAACCCUGCGGAACUCCCAUUGUAACAGAAGGAGGAUGUGACUUCAUCGAAUCAACCAUUACCACUUGUGUCCUAUUUUUUAUAUAUGAGGCAACCCUGUCAUUAUCAACUCCCCUGAUUCCAAUUUUGAGCAGUUAAAUAAAAAAAUAGGCCAACUGG